rnacentral:rRNA from 1 species
UACGUAGGUCCCGAGCGUUAUCCGGAUUUACUGGGUGUAAAGGGAGCGUAGGUGGCAUGGUAAGCCAGAAGUGAAAACCCGGGGCUCAACCCCGCGGAUUGCUUUUGGAACUAUCAGGCUGGAGUGCUGGAGGGGUAAGCGGAAUUCCUAGUGUAGCGGUGAAAUGCGUAGAUAUUAGGAGGAACACCGGUGGCGAAGGCGGCUUACUGGACAGAAACUGACACUGAGGCUCGAAAGCGUGGGGAGCAAACAGG